UAGGGGAGGGAGUAAGUUGCAACGUUUAGAAUAGUUAAGCAAAAGAAGCACAAAGGGUAUAUCCUUAUCACAAAGUUUAUCUAAGUGAAAUUUAGAAUCAUAAUUUAGGAUGUUUGUAUAGAGUGACGUUCACUGGCCAUGUAAACAAUUACUGUAAACUAAUUAGGCUUGAUAGUGACCUUAAAUUUAAAUCACCAAUAAAACGUUAAGUUCAUUACCCCGGCAGUAAAUGGAAUUUGGAGUUUAUUUUCCUCGAGUCAACUGAAGUUCAACCAGGGAAGUCAUUCAGAGAUUAAAUUGAUUCUAUUUAUGUAAUGCAGUAUUACUCUUGUUUGUUUCUACGGAGAAUGAUCGAUAUUGAAGAAAAGGGCAGAAUAAUGAAUAAAUAUGACAGUUUCUUGAACAUAUCAGGUGAUCUGUAUAGUUCUCCAUCUGUUCGAAUGCCUGAUAUAAAAAAGGUCGAAGAGCUCUCCAGGCGCAUUGGAAUUAAUCUGAGUGACGAAGAAGUUAAGGAGUAUAGAGAGUUAAUGAAGACAUUUGUGGAAAGUUUUAAUGCCGUGGAGAACAUACCCGAGCCGACACUGCCAGUGAAGUAUCCAAGACUUCCUGGAUAUAGGCCGCCGGUGGAGGAAAAUCCUCUAAAUGCUUGGUAUUGGAAAACUAACAUUGAGGGCGUGUCUGAAGGUAUCCUGAAAGGAAAAAGUGUAGCCAUCAAAGACAAUGUAGCUGUUUAUGGAGUUCCCAUGAUGGGAGGAUCAUGGGUUCUUGAGGGCUAUAUUCCAGAGUUUGAUGCUACGGUAGUGACUCGGAUACUUGAUGCAGGUGGUGUAAUAAAAGGUAAAUCUAUUUGUGAAGAUUUUUGCUGUUUUGGUAUGAGUUUCAACGGUGCUAGAGGACCUGUUUUGAAUCCGUACAAUAACACUCAUGAUGCUGGGGGAUCGAGCUCUGGCAGUGCAGUUUUGGUUGCAAACGGUGAAGUAGACAUGGCUAUUGGAGGGGAUCAGGGUGGUUCAAUUAGGUUACCAGCAAGCUGCUGUGGGAUCGUAGGCCUUAAACCAACAUAUGGCCUUGUACCGUACACGGGAGCACAGUCCGUGGAGCUAACGAUCGAUCAUCUCGGUCCAAUGGCAAAGACAGUCUACGACUGCGCAUUACUAUUAGAGGCAAUUGCUGGUUACGACAAUGGACUUGAUCCACGACAACCGGCAAAUGUGUCUGUAGAAAAGUACACGGAAGAGUUAGCGUCAUCUGAUCUCACUGGAUUCACUAUUGGCAUCCUAAAAGAAGGAUUUGAGCACAGGGAUUCUGAUCCUAGGGUGAACGAGCUUAUUCUACAAUGUAUAUCAAAGGUAAAGGUAGCUCACACUGAAAUCAAGGACGUAUCGGUACCAAUGCACACAUACGGUGUAGAUCUUGUAUCCUGUAUCGCAUGCGUCGGAGGAGUAGAUACAAUUUUUAGAGGUGGAAGCAAUGGUAGUGGACGUAAAGGAUUCUACUCCACAAGUAUGAGGGAUGCUGUCGUUAGAGGAGUUCAAUCACAACCCAAUGAACUCUCGCCUUCAGUGAAACCUUAUUGGGUGGUUGGCGGAUAUACAAGUGUUAUCUUGAGUUUUGUAUUGUAUGGUUUAGCAGUCUGACAGAAAACAGCAAAUGUAGAAUAAGGAAAUCCAUAGAUUUUGCAGGACGUGUUAUUGGCAGAUCUUUUUAAAACAGCAUCUGGAAAUAAUGUUAAUACAAGAACAUUUAACGUAACUGGCCACCCAGCCAUCAGCAUCAACGCUGGAUUUAUAGACGACCUACCAAUCGGGAUGAUGUUAGUUGGAAAAAUGUUCGAC
rnacentral:misc_RNA from 1 species